rnacentral:lncRNA from 1 species
UCUGGAUUCUCGCCGUAGACAUGAUUUACUUGGAUUUGCAUCUAAUUUCUUGAAACGGUGAAAGAAAAGCUUACGGCCUUUAACCUCUUUAAUUAAAAGAGUUCGAAAGAACAUUAACCGCAACAUGAACUUUUUGUAUUGAUAGCUAUCCAGGUCAAGAUCACUUGUAAAUGUACCGGUAGCUUACAACAUUUAACCUUUCUAAUUAAAAGUCUCGAAAUAACAUAAACCCUAACUCGAUCAUUUUGCGCCGACGGAAAGAACAUAAACCCCAACUUGAUCUUUUUGUAUUGAUAGCGAUCCAGGUCGAGAUCACUAGUACAUGUACCGAUAGCUUACAACCUUUAAACCUUUCUAAUUCAAAGUCUCGAAAUAGCAUAAACCCUAACUCGAUCUUUUUGCGCUGAGGGAAAGAACACAAACCCCAACUUGAUCUUUUUGUAGUGAUUACGAUCCAG